rnacentral:rRNA from 1 species
UACGUAGGGUGCAAGCGUUGCCCGGAUUUAUUGGGCGUAAAGAGCGUGUAGGCGGCCUGACAGGUCUGCUGUGAAAACUCGAGGCUCAACCUCGAGAUGUCGGCGGAAACCGUCUGGCUAGAGUCCGGAAGAGGAGAGUGGAAUUCCUGGUGUAGCGGUGAAAUGCGCAGAUAUCAGGAAGAACACCUAUGGCGAAGGCAGCUCUCUGGGACGGUACUGACGCUGAGACGCGAAAGCGUGGGGAGCAAACAGG